AUAUUAAAGUGUGCAGAAUAUGUUACACUCAUACUGUGUCAGGUUUUAUUUACCUCGUCUUUUAAACCUGCAUCUAUGAAUCAGGUAGAAGAUGAGGAGGAGGAUGAUGAGGAGCAAGGGGACAACGAUACCUAUCACCAAAGGGAGAGGUGGUUUUUGUUCUGGAGGAGCGACUGGAAGACAAAUUCAUAAUUAAUAACUCAGUAAGACUUGGUAAGACUUCAGAUCAUCAUUGUAGACCUACUUGUACUUGAUGAUGGUGAUGCUGUAGUAGUAAGUGUCGUCAUAGUCGGCUUCGUAGUUGUAGUUCUCUUCUUAGUUCUCUUCUUAGUCGGCUUCUUAGUCGUAGUUGGCUUUGUAGUCGGCAUCGUAAUCGUAGUCGGCAUCGUAGUCGUAGUCGGCUUCAUAGUCGUAGUCGCAGUCGGCUUCGUACUCGUAGUUGGCUUCAUAGUUGUUGGUGGUGGUGUGGUUUUCUUUUUUCCUUGCGAGUGGGGCAGAAACAAGAUUCAGUUCAGUUUGU
rnacentral:lncRNA from 1 species